rnacentral:rRNA from 1 species
GUAGGGAGCGAGCGUUGUCCGGAAUUACGGGGUGUAAAGGGAGCGUAGGCGGGAUGGCAAGUCAGAUGUGAAAACUAUGGGCUCAACCCAUAGACUGCAUUUGAAACUGUUGUUCUUGAGUGAGGUAGAGGUAAGCGGAAUUCCUGGUGUAGCGGUGAAAUGCGUAGAGAUCAGGAGGAACAUCGGUGGCGAAGGCGGCUUACUGGGCCUUUACUGACGCUGAGGCUCGAAAGCGUGGGGAGCAAACAGGAUUAGAUACCCUGGUAGUCCACGCCGUAAACGAUGAUUACUAGGUGUGGGGGGACUGACCCCUUCCGUGCCGCAGUUAACACAGUAAGUAAUCCACCUGGGGAGU